GGCUUCGUAGUGUAGCGGUUAUCACUCAAGAUUUUGAGCUUACCUCGCCUUCUUGUAACCCCGGUUCGAAUCCGGGCGAGGCCU